GGAGGUGGCUGUGGUCUGGGAUUCUGAUUUUGCUGAGGAUACUGAUGCCUCAGCUGAGCCAGUUGAGAUCAAGAAGAAGAGGCAAAUGGUAACCAAGCCAUAUGAUUUCAGCAGCGAACAAGAGGGCGACCUGGUAGAUUGGUA